GGGCUUGGCCGGUGGUACGCCAGAGGCUGCCCAUAGCAGGAAACCCCCGCAGAGGCCAGGGCCUCUUGUUCCACUUGGCAGAGACCCCAGAGAGAGCCAGGGGGCAGCAUCAGAGCCUGGGGCCCUGGCAGGGGUGCCCAAGGGCACGGCAGCUGCAGGUAUUGACAAGGCCAGAAGACGGCCCUCUGUGCAUGCCAUGCUUAAUAAGGUAAUAAAAAGGUAAGAUUAUAAAGAAGGAAGAGGCCUAUCAAGGAAAGAAGGCUCUUUAUUUGCUUUGCUGUCAUGGUAUCCUUCCCAUUCCACUGGCUUCCAGCACAUAUGUGGAAACUUUUUGGGAAAGUUCCCCAAAACUUUGGGGAACUGUGUUCCCCUGAAGUUUGGAGGGUGAGGAGUGAAAGAGGUUGAGAAGAAUGAGCUGGCUGGAUGGAGUCUUGUUCUGUCACCAGGCUGGAGUGCAGUGGUGCGAUCUCAGCUCACUACAACCUCCACCUCCUGGGUUCAAGUGAAUCCCCUGCCUCAGCCUCCCUAGUAGCUGGGACUACAGGCACACACCACCACACCUGGCUAAUUUUUUGUAUUUUUUAGUAGAGACGGGGUUUCACCAUGUUGGCCAGGAUGGUCUCAAUCUCUUGACCUCAUGAUCUGCCCACCCCACCCUCCCAAAGUUCUGGGAUUACAGGCCUGAGCCACUGCACCUGGCUGCUAGUUCUUAAGAGGGAGGUAUGAGACGUAUGUAUAGACUAAGUGAAAGGAAAAUAUCUUGGGCCCCCAAAAUCACUAAGCUAAAAGGAAAAUUCAAGCUGGAAACUGCUCAGAGCAAACCUGCUUCCCAUUCUAUUCAAAGUCAUCCCUCUGCUCACUGAGGUAAAUGCAUAUUCUGAUUGGCUCCUUUGUAAAAGCUAAUUAGAAACUCAAAAGAAUGCAACUAUUUGUCUCUCACCUACUUGUGACCUGGAAGACCCCUCCCUGCUUCAAGUUCUCCCCACCUUUUUGGACAAAACCAGUGUACUUCUUACUGUAUUGAUUAAUGUCUUGUGUCUCCCUAAAGUGUAUAAAACCAAGUUGUGCCCUGACCACCUUGGGCACAGGUCAUCAGGACUUCCUGAGGCUGUGUCAUGGGCAUGCGUCCUCACCCUUGGCAAAAUAAACCUUCUAAAUUAAAUGAGACCUCUCUCAGAUUUUCUGGGUUUACAACUAUGAAUGUUCAGGAGAGUUUGGAAGCCAAUAUCUUCAAGGUCAUACACUUAUCUGUGUUUAGGGUACGUCUCCAGAGGGAGAGAACCACUAGGAUGCAUAUGAAGGGAAACCAACUAGGGGAAAUUGGC
rnacentral:lncRNA from 1 species